CUCGUAGAAUGUUGUAGAGGGGAUAUAUGUAACUCUCAGGCCUAGUCCUUAAGAUGCUGUGCAGUUCCUCAUCUUGACCUCUCUCAGAAGCCAGCUACCAUAAAUUUUCAGAAAACAAUUUGACCAAAUAACAGCUCUUGUGAGCUCAUAGCCACAGAGGUUUACAGCCUGCCAUUCUAAAUUAAAAGCAUACAAGACUGUCUUUGAAGAUUUUCUCUACUGGAUGGGCUGCUGUUGACCUCGCUGCUGACCUUGCUGCUGACCUCACUGCUGACCUUGCUGCUGACUUCACCGCUUCUCCCAAUAUAUGUCAGCUGAGUGGACUUUUGGCUGCCGGACAUGAAGAAAUCAUAUAAUCAAUUAAGCAAUCAAUCAACAAAUAUAUAGUGGACUUCUGCAAUUUGCAAGGCUCUGUGGCAAAUUGUACAAGGGGAAAAGUGUUUGUGGCCCACAGAAAUCAUGCUGCAGCCCUGGGUGAUAUGCUGAGACAUCUGGGGGAGGAAAUGACUAGGCAUAAGUAAAACAGGGAACUACUAAAAUCCUUAUGCAUGCAGGCUUUGACUAAG